rnacentral:tRNA from 1 species
AGGGUUUUAAGUUAAUAAAACUAUUAACCUUCAAAGUUAAAAAUAAAAUUGUUUUAAACCUUA